AGCUAAUCCAUUAUGUUUAACUAGAAGUUUUAUUUUAAAUUUGUAAGAUCUUUCUUCAAACAUAAUUAGUUUUUGACUGCAGAGUUCAUCAGCAUUUGUAUGUUCCCAGAAAGCAAAAUGAGAGUGAUAAGUAUUUUCAUUUUCCUCUGCCUGACCACCUUCAAAUUUGGGAUCAUUUGAAAUUUUAAUUUCAAAUCAUAAUAAAAAUAAUAACUUUUACUAGUAUGCACCAAUGAUUUGAAAUGAUUUAAACUGAACAAUACACAUUUAAUUGUUUUUCUCUUGCCAUGAUUUCUUAAAUCCCAUAUCAUUCUUUUUCUGGCUUCUUAGUUGGAGGAUGUAUAAAUGCUUGUACUCAUUUGAAUUGAUUCAGAUUAUAGGAGCUUGUCUGCAAUGACUGUGGGGACAGAACAGGACAGCCUAGCAGGAGGAGAUGGAGCCUCUCACUGUCCUCCAGGGUAUCAUCACUAGGUCCCUGUGAUAGUGAAUGGCCCCCUCUCUUGGGUCUCAGAGCUGGCACUAAUGUGCUUUAGCCUGUGGGCAAUCUCUGUUCUCUGGGCUGGAUGACCAGGCAGUUGCUCAAAAUGCACUGCACGGAUUAAUCUCGGAGACAACUGUUCCUUCACAUCCUUCUGCCAGAAGUUCCCAUAAUCCCCGUCAUCUCCACACUGCUUCUCUCCUCAGAGUUUUUCUGUUGUCUUAUUUUGCCAAGAACUUGAUGCUCUCUGUUCUGUAUCUUUUAUGAUGAUCUCAACAUCUUUGUUGUUGACAUCACGAUUUCUUCUUUGCCAGAGCUGUCUGAAUGUGUUUAAUAUAUUCAGUCAUGUCAGAAUAAUUGGGACGGGAGAGAAAGUGUGUUCAGUCUGCUGUUUGUUCCUAUUUGUAUACACACACUCUCACACACGCACAGUAUAAUGUUCCUGUUAACCAACUUGUCUACUAUUGUUUACUGUUUCAAAAAGAAAAUUGACUUAGUUUUUCCGUCUUUUGAUCUUAUCAUUUAAAAAAAAUGUUUAUCUUUCAUUUUGCUUAGUAUGAUCCAACCUGAAAUCCUUUAUAACAAGCCUCAAAUAAAACAACAACAGAAUCUUAACUCUGAUAUUCACUUAUUGCAUAUACUCUGUCAGGUGUCAAAGAAUGCAUCUGUAAAGACAUGGCCACAUAAAAGAGCCGAAAACUUUUGAUCAAAGAAAGUCAGGUUGUCCAAAACAGUUUUCUUCCUAGGGGGUGUUUUUAUUUUAUUUAUUUUAUUAAUUUUUUUAGAACAGUUUUCUGUAAAUAUACUAAUCUUAAAAGGUCUAUGUUCCUUCAGGGAGACUGAUACUUGUUCUUCCCAUAUUUUUCAUUGGUGAUCACCCCGUUAUCUGCAACUUUAUUACUAAAUUUAUUUUUUGGCACUUUUAUCCAUAUAGAGAAUAAUUGAUAUAUUUUUUUUUUUAGAAAAUUAGGUUUUCUAUAAAAUAGAUUAUUUUUAAAGAAGUAUAGCUGUGCUGUUUAAAUGUUAUAGGUUGGCUGUGAGGUGUCCCCCAAAAGCUCAUGUGUGAGACAAUGCAAGAGGUUUAGAGGAGAAGUGAUCCCUGAUGGGAUUAACUGAGUGGUUACUGAAGGUGGGAAGGGUGUGGCUGGAGGAGGU
rnacentral:lncRNA from 1 species